rnacentral:misc_RNA from 1 species
GAAAUGCGAUAAGUAAUGUGAAUUGCAGAAUUCAGUGAAUCAUCGAAUCUUUGAACGCACAUUGCGCCCGCCAGCACUCUGGCGGGCAUGCCUGUUCGAGCGUCAUUUCAACCCUCAGAACCCCUUGCGGGAUCUGGCGUUGGGGAUUGGCAUCCAGCCAGCCCCGAAAUCUAGUGGCGGUCCCUCCGCGACCUCCCCCUGUGCAGUAGCGAUACCUCGCAGCGGGACAGCGGUCUGACCACGCCGUAAAACCCCCAACUUCUCAAGGUUGACCUCGAAUCAGGUAGGAAUACCCGCUGAACUUAAGC